rnacentral:rRNA from 1 species
CAGCAGCCGCGGGAAAACGGAGGGUGCGAGCGUUAAUCGGAAUAACUGGGCGUAAAGGGCACGCAGGCGGUGACUUAAGUGAGGUGUGAAAGCCCCGGGCUUAACCUGGGAAUUGCAUUUCAUACUGGGUCGCUAGAGUACUUUAGGGAGGGGUAGAAUUCCACGUGUAGCGGUGAAAUGCGUAGAGAUGUGGAGGAAUACCGAAGGCGAAGGCAGCCCCUUGGGAAUGUACUGACGCUCAUGUGCGAAAGCGUGGGGAGCAAACAGGAUUAGAUACCGUGUAGUCCCUGUCUCUUAUACA